AUUGAACGCUGGCGGCAGGCCUAACACAUGCAAGUCGAGCGGAGCGCCGGACGGGUGAGUAAUGCCUAGGACUCUGACUGGUAGCGGGGGAUAACGUUCGGUAAUGGGCGCUAAUACUGCUUACUCUUAGCUGAGGCUAGGUCGGAUUCGGGUUUUGGUGGGGUAAAGGCCUACCAAGUCGACGAUCCGUAACUGGUCUGAGAGGAUGAUCAGUCACACUGGAACUGAGAAACGGUCCAGACUCCUACGGGAGGCAGCAGUGGGGAAUAUUGGACAAUGGGCGAAAGCCUGAUGCAGCCAUGCCGCGUGUAUGAAGAAGGUCUUCGGGUUGUAAAGUACUUUAAGUUAGGAGGCGUUACUAGCAGAAGAAGCACCGGCUAACUCCGUGCCAGCAGCCGCGGUAAUAC
rnacentral:rRNA from 1 species